rnacentral:lncRNA from 1 species
AAGGAUUUAUACAUGCAUUGCUUUUAUAGGAUAGUCUUUGGAUCACAUUUAUAAACCCUAUCUGAUGUAGGAGAGCAUUCGUAUUGAUUGCUUUGGUUUCCUAGGAACAUUUAAAUUCCAGAUCUGUGCUAUCAGUGAUGUUUCUGUAUUCAAGACCACAGAGCAGCCCUGUAAAUUCACCACCGAAGCACAGAAAGUACAAAUAAUACGACACAUUUUCAUUACAGCAUCUCUGGGUGUUCAUGUAGUCAGUAGAGGGAGAAGAUAUGGUUCUAAAUGCUGUUUAUAAUGCCUACACAGACGAGUGUGUGUUUCUUGGUUAUUUGUUUUCUAAUUUACUGAAAAAGUGUCUGAAAGUGAAUGAGAGGGGAAGAGUGAUACAGUGAUACAGCCACAGAAGCACCGAACCAUUUCCAGUCAAGUUGUUUGCAGCUCGCUCGGAGCACAGCAUGCUGGGAAUGACCAAGGCUCCCAGGAAGACCGCGAGCUGUUGGAGCUCAAAGACACUGCCCAGGGCCCACUCCACCUCCUUCCCAGGUAAAUGGCAAACACAGGAAGAAGGUGACCAUUGAUGCAACAGGAUGCUGAAGGAAGGCCCUCAGAAGAACAGCAUUUUUUUUCCUGAAGAAAUACUGAGUUUUAGUCUCACUACAUUACUGAUAUCAUAAAAUUCAAAAAUAAAAGCAAGAAACUCCAAUGGUUAUAGUACACUGGCCACGUGUUAUGACUCAGAAACUCUGGUAGGUGCUUUCAACACAUAUCCUACUUAAUCCCAAUCGCCACUCUGGGCUGCAGGGGUCGGAGAGGAGACGCCUGAGUGAACCUGUUUCUGCCCUCGUGGAAGAGCCAAAACACAGGCCCCACCUAGUGUGACGCCAAAGUCAUGCUCUGCUCUGGG